rnacentral:rRNA from 1 species
GGGUUGUGAGGUUAAGCGACUAAGCGUACACGGUGGAUGCCCUGGCAGUCAGAGGCGAUGAAGGACGUGCUAAUCUGCGAUAAGCGUCGGUAAGGUGAUAUGAACCGUUAUAACCGGCGAUUUCCGAAUGGGGAAACCCAGUGUGUUUCGACACACUAUCAUUAACUGAAUCCAUAGGUUAAUGAGGCGAACCGGGGGAACUGAAACAUCUAAGUACCCCGAGGAAAAGAAAUCAACCGAGAUUCCCCCAGUAGCGGCGAGCGAACGGGGAGCAGCCCAGAGCCUGAAUCAGUGUGUGUGUUAGUGGAAGCGUCUGGAAAGGCGUGCGAUACAGGGUGACAGCCCCGUACACAAAAAUGCACAUGCUGUGAGCUCGAUGAGUAGGGCGGGACACGUGGUAUCCUGUCUGAAUAUGGGGGGACCAUCCUCCAAGGCUAAAUACUCCUGACUGACCGAUAGUGAACCAGUACCGUGAGGGAAAGGCGAAAAGAACCCCGGCGAGGGGAGUGAAAAAGAACCUGAAACCGUGUACGUACAAGCAGUGGGAGCACGCUUAGGCGUGUGACUGCGUACCUUUUGUAUAAUGGGUCAGCGACUUAUAUUCUGUAGCAAGGUUAACCGAAUAGGGGAGCCGAAGGGAAACCGAGUCUUAACUGGGCGUUAAGUUGCAGGGUAUAGACCCGAAACCCGGUGAUCUAGCCAUGGGCAGGUUGAAGGUUGGGUAACACUAACUGGAGGACCGAACCGACUAAUGUUGAAAAAUUAGCGGAUGACUUGUGGCUGGGGGUGAAAGGCCAAUCAAACCGGGAGAUAGCUGGUUCUCCCCGAAAGCUAUUUAGGUAGCGCCUCGUGAAUUCAUCUCCGGGGGUAGAGCACUGUUUCGGCAAGGGGGUCAUCCCGACUUACCAACCCGAUGCAAACUGCGAAUACCGGAGAAUGUUAUCACGGGAGACACACGGCGGGUGCUAACGUCCGUCGUGAAGAGGGAAACAACCCAGACCGCCAGCUAAGGUCCCAAAGUCAUGGUUAAGUGGGAAACGAUGUGGGAAGGCCCAGACAGCCAGGAUGUUGGCUUAGAAGCAGCCAUCAUUUAAAGAAAGCGUAAUAGCUCACUGGUCGAGUCGGCCUGCGCGGAAGAUGUAACGGGGCUAAACCAUGCACCGAAGCUGCGGCAGCGACGCUUAUGCGUUGUUGGGUAGGGGAGCGUUCUGUAAGCCUGCGAAGGUGUGCUGUGAGGCAUGCUGGAGGUAUCAGAAGUGCGAAUGCUGACAUAAGUAACGAUAAAGCGGGUGAAAAGCCCGCUCGCCGGAAGACCAAGGGUUCCUGUCCAACGUUAAUCGGGGCAGGGUGAGUCGACCCCUAAGGCGAGGCCGAAAGGCGUAGUCGAUGGGAAACAGGUUAAUAUUCCUGUACUUGGUGUUACUGCGAAGGGGGGACGGAGAAGGCUAUGUUGGCCGGGCGACGGUUGUCCCGGUUUAAGCGUGUAGGCUGGUUUUCCAGGCAAAUCCGGAAAAUCAAGGCUGAGGCGUGAUGACGAGGCACUACGGUGCUGAAGCAACAAAUGCCCUGCUUCCAGGAAAAGCCUCUAAGCAUCAGGUAACAUCAAAUCGUACCCCAAACCGACACAGGUGGUCAGGUAGAGAAUACCAAGGCGCUUGAGAGAACUCGGGUGAAGGAACUAGGCAAAAUGGUGCCGUAACUUCGGGAGAAGGCACGCUGAUAUGUAGGUGAAGUCCCUCGCGGAUGGAGCUGAAAUCAGUCGAAGAUACCAGCUGGCUGCAACUGUUUAUUAAAAACACAGCACUGUGCAAACACGAAAGUGGACGUAUACGGUGUGACGCCUGCCCGGUGCCGGAAGGUUAAUUGAUGGGGUCAGCGCAAGCGAAGCUCUUGAUCGAAGCCCCGGUAAACGGCGGCCGUAACUAUAACGGUCCUAAGGUAGCGAAAUUCCUUGUCGGGUAAGUUCCGACCUGCACGAAUGGCGUAAUGAUGGCCAGGCUGUCUCCACCCGAGACUCAGUGAAAUUGAACUCGCUGUGAAGAUGCAGUGUACCCGCGGCAAGACGGAAAGACCCCGUGAACCUUUACUAUAGCUUGACACUGAACAUUGAGCCUUGAUGUGUAGGAUAGGUGGGAGGCUUUGAAGUGUGGACGCCAGUCUGCAUGGAGCCGACCUUGAAAUACCACCCUUUAAUGUUUGAUGUUCUAACGUUGACCCGUAAUCCGGGUUGCGGACAGUGUCUGGUGGGUAGUUUGACUGGGGCGGUCUCCUCCUAAAGAGUAACGGAGGAGCACGAAGGUUGGCUAAUCCUGGUCGGACAUCAGGAGGUUAGUGCAAUGGCAUAAGCCAGCUUGACUGCGAGCGUGACGGCGCGAGCAGGUGCGAAAGCAGGUCAUAGUGAUCCGGUGGUUCUGAAUGGAAGGGCCAUCGCUCAACGGAUAAAAGGUACUCCGGGGAUAACAGGCUGAUACCGCCCAAGAGUUCAUAUCGACGGCGGUGUUUGGCACCUCGAUGUCGGCUCAUCACAUCCUGGGGCUGAAGUAGGUCCCAAGGGUAUGGCUGUUCGCCAUUUAAAGUGGUACGCGAGCUGGGUUUAGAACGUCGUGAGACAGUUCGGUCCCUAUCUGCCGUGGGCGCUGGAGAACUGAGGGGGGCUGCUCCUAGUACGAGAGGACCGGAGUGGACGCAUCACUGGUGUUCGGGUUGUCAUGCCAAUGGCACUGCCCGGUAGCUAAAUGCGGAAGAGAUAAGUGCUGAAAGCAUCUAAGCACGAAACUUGCCCCGAGAUGAGUUCUCCCUGACUCCUUGAGAGUCCUGAAGGAACGUUGAAGACGACGACGUUGAUAGGCCGGGUGUGUAAGCGCAGCGAUGCGUUGAGCUAACCGGUACUAAUGAACCGUGAGGCUUAACCUUACAACGCCGAAGCUGUU